rnacentral:misc_RNA from 1 species
GUUGGCCAUGGGCGCAUGACGGAUCACUUUUCCGGUCGCCGGAUUGCUAAUCUCGCCGGUGCGCGUGCUUUUGGCAGCGACCCUCUUGCCGCCGAUCCACAGCGGAAGUGUUUCAAGCUCCACGUAUGUCUCGGCCGUCUUUUUCAUUUCGCCUGCUCCUUCUUUUGAUGGCUGCGCCCUGUCGGGCUUGCAUUCGCAGCCGGCUCAUUAAACUUGGCAGCCAAUUUCUCGGUUUCACGUGCCAGGAUGACAGCGUCUGUGCCGACUGCAACGAACUGGGCUCCCAGCUCGAGCCAAUGCCUCGCGUCAGCUUCGACACCGGUCAGAAUUCCUGGCGCCUUCCCUGCUUUCCGAAUUCUGCGGAUG